rnacentral:lncRNA from 1 species
UUUAGAAACUAGCUGCAUUGACAAUAUACUCUUGGGAUUGAGGGAGAAGCAAGAAGACAUCUUUCUACCACCGUCUAAAACUGGGAGACCCCGUCAUUACUUUAGUCACCUGGGAUUGGAAAGCAUACAGAUUUUCUAGCCCACAGAUCGACAACCAAGUGAUAUGUCU